rnacentral:piRNA from 1 species
CUGCCUGGCGGUGAGUGGGAAUGGGA